UACAGAGGGUGCAAGCGUUGUUCGGAAUCACUGGGCGUAAAGCGCGCGCAGGCGGGACGACAAGUCGGGAGUGAAAUUCCGGGGCUCAACUCCGGACCUGCUUUCGAAACUGUCGACCUGGGGACCGGUAGGGGCUGGUGGAAUUCCCGGUGUAGCGGUGGAAUGCGUAGAUAUCGGGAAGAACACCCGUGGCGAAGGCGGCCAGCUGGGCCGGGUCCGACGCUGAGGCGCGAAAGCGUGGGGAGCAAACAGG
rnacentral:rRNA from 1 species